rnacentral:rRNA from 1 species
AGAGUUUGAUCCUGGCUCAGAACGAACGCUGGCGGCAUGCCUAACACAUGCAAGUCGAACGAAGGCUUCGGCCUUAGUGGCGCACGGGUGCGUAACGCGUGGGAAUCUGCCCAAAGCUACGGAAUAACUCGGGGAAACUCGUGCUAAUACCGUAUGAUGUCGCAAGACCAAAGAUUUAUCGGCUUUGGAUGAGCCCGCGUAGGAUUAGCUUGUUGGUGGGGUAAAGGCCUACCAAGGCGACGAUCAGUAGCUGAUUUGAGAGGAUGAUCAGCCACACUGGGACUGAGACACGGCCCAGACUCCUACGGGAGGCAGCAGUGGGGAAUAUUGGACAAUGGGCGAAAGCCUGAUCCAGCAAUGCCGCGUGAGUGAUGAAGGCCUUAGGGUUGUAAAGCUCUUUUACCCGGGAAGAUAAUGACUGUACCGGGAGAAUAAGCCCCGGCUAACUCCGUGCCAGCAGCCGCGGUAAU